GUGGGGGGGGGCUGUCAUAAUACAUGCAAGUCGAGCGAACAGAUAAGGAGCUUGCUCCUUUGACGUUAGCGGCGGACGGGUGAGUAACACGUGGGUAACCUACCUAUAAGACUGGGAUAACUUCGGGAAACCGGAGCUAAUACCGGAUAACAUUUGGAACCGCAUGGUUCUAAAGUGAAAGAUGGUUUUGCUAUCACUUAUAGAUGGACCCGCGCCGUAUUAGCUAGUUGGUAAGGUAACGGCUUACCAAGGCGACGAUACGUAGCCGACCUGAGAGGGUGAUCGGCCACACUGGAACUGAGACACGGUCCAGACUCCUACGGGAGGCAGCAGUAGGGAAUCUUCCGCAAUGGGCGAAAGCCUGACGGAGCAACGCCGCGUGAGUGAUGAAGGGUUUCGGCUCGUAAAACUCUGUUAUUAGGGAAGAACAAAUGUGUAAGUAACUGUGCACGUCUUGACGGUACCUAAUCAGAAAGCCACGGCUAACUACGUGCCAGCAGCCGCGGUAAUACGUAGGUGGCAAGCGUUAUCCGGAAUUAUUGGGCGUAAAGCGCGCGUAGGCGGUUUCUUAAGUCUGAUGUGAAAGCCCACGGCUCAACCGUGGAGGGUCAUUGGAAACUGGGAAACUUGAGUGCAGAAGAGGAAAGUGGAAUUCCAUGUGUAGCGGUGAAAUGCGCAGAGAUAUGGAGGAACACCAGUGGCGAAGGCGACUUUCUGGUCUGUAACUGACGCUGAUGUGCGAAAGCGUGGGGAUCAAACAGGAUUAGAUACCCUGGUAGUCCACGCCGUAAACGAUGAGUGCUAAGUGUUAGGGGGUUUCCGCCCCUUAGUGCUGCAGCUAACGCAUUAAGCACUCCGCCUGGGGAGUACGACCGCAAGGUUGAAACUCAAAGGAAUUGACGGGGACCCGCACAAGCGGUGGAGCAUGUGGUUUAAUUCGAAGCAACGCGAAGAACCUUACCAAAUCUUGACAUCCUUUGAAAACUCUAGAGAUAGAGCUUUCCCCUUCGGGGGACAAAGUGACAGGUGGUGCAUGGUUGUCGUCAGCUCGUGUCGUGAGAUGUUGGGUUAAGUCCCGCAACGAGCGCAACCCUUAAGCUUAGUUGCCAUCAUUAAGUUGGGCACUCUAGGUUGACUGCCGGUGACAAACCGGAGGAAGGUGGGGAUGACGUCAAAUCAUCAUGCCCCUUAUGAUUUGGGCUACACACGUGCUACAAUGGACAAUACAAAGGGCAGCUAAACCGCGAGGUCAUGCAAAUCCCAUAAAGUUGUUCUCAGUUCGGAUUGUAGUCUGCAACUCGACUACAUGAAGCUGGAAUCGCUAGUAAUCGUAGAUCAGCAUGCUACGGUGAAUACGUUCCCGGGUCUUGUACACACCGCCCGUCACACCACGAGAGUUUGUAACACCCGAAGCCGGUGGAGUAACC
rnacentral:rRNA from 1 species